UUUCCCUGAGUCCAGCAGUAGCAACACUUCUGCUUUUCCAAACCAAAGCGUAGCCACACCUUCACCCCUGCUUCAUCGGCGUAACACAGCCUCAGUCCCUGAUUCAGCACCGCAAAACCUCCUUACAGCCGCCACCCUUUCUUCUUCCCUUCAGCAAACCUGCAACACGACAACUUCAAAGAAGAAACAAUAAUCAGAAAGGAAGGGAAACUUGGCACUGCCGAACAGAGAAGGAAGACAGAGGGAAGAGUUGCUCGUGCCGUCACCUGCUGCUGCGACCUAGCCGCGCCACCACCGCCCCGUAGAACAGUCGUCACGCCUACCCACUCACCACUGCCGUACGAGAAGCUUCAUGGCCCCUGCUGUCGAGCUCACAGAUGGGAGAAACAGAGGCGACGCGAGGGAGAAAGGGAGCCAUCACGCUGUGCCACUGCCAGCUCCGCCGCCACUGCUUCCAUGUCUUCCAACGGCGCCGCCAUCGCCACCGUGGAUCGCGACCAAAGGGGAGCACGAGACCGAGAGAGAGGGAGUGAGACGUAGAGUCGGCGUCGCGCGGAGAGGGACUCGUCGCUGCCGCCGCGCACUGCCGUGUGCCAUCACUGCUGUCUGAACAGUAGCCGUCGCCCUGGGGGUGUAGUCCGCCGCUGCCGCCAGUGGAGGUCACUGCUGUGGGACGGAGGUGAGAGAGGGAAGCAGGAUGAAUCCCCUCCACUUCUGGUGCCCUGGUCCGCCGCCACCACCGUCGGAAUCCUUGGCAAUCGCUUCUACCGUCGCUCCACUUGGGUUCGGGGUGAUCACGCUGCCGUUGCCUUUGGAAGCCACUGCUGGGGCAGGAUGCUAUGGUGGUUGCUAAUGAAGCCGCCAUUAAUGGGGCUGCUAUGUUCAGUGAAUUCUGCGAGUUUCAACUUUUUGGUAAGGGUUUUAAAUUUAUGGUUUCGGUCAUUUUGAGUUUCGAGAAGGUUUUGAUGCUGCGCGGUUUUUAUAGAUGACCCACUGGAGCUUCUGGUCGUUGCCGGAGCUGUUGCCGGGGGCCGGUUCGAAAUCGUAGCUGCCUCAUUGUGUUAUUUUGUGUUGCUAUGGUUAUUGUGAAAGUGGCUUGGAGCCGAGGUUUUGGUUGCCGGUGAUUUCGAGUUGAGGCGGGAAAGACUUGAUGAGUUAUUUGGGUUAUGGAAUUGCGUUUUGAGGAUAUGGGCGCAGAAGUCAUGAAGAGUUUAUUUAAUUGUUGUUGAGAUGCUCUGUAUUGCUUUAGAUUAUUAUUUUUGUACCCUCGCCUUUACCUUGAUAUAUUCUGUAAGAGGGAUAGGAAUUGUAUUGGGUAAUGUUUGUAAUAUUAUUUAUAUAUAUGUAUGUAUAUAUAUAUGGAUGUACUCUUGAUGAGCUUUUGUAAGUUGUAUGGUAUCUAUGGAUGUAUGUUAUCGAACGAAAGAAAAUUUUAGAGCAGUAUUGCGGUUUAAAGUUUUAAACAGGCUCAUAUUUUAGUAUUAAAUAGUAUAAGUGUCGUCGUAAUGUCUGAGCUAUCAGAGUUGCGCAGCCGGAAGCGUGAGCUUUGGUAGUUAGGGUGUUACAGGUACCGCGCCGACACCAGCCAUUGUCAUGCCACCUCCGUUGCGCAUCACCGCCGGUCACUACGACUGAGUGACAAAUGAAUUUUUGUUGGUAUAGAAUUUAUCAAGUGAUCAAUCGUAGUAUAGUCUAAACCAACGCGAAAUCCAUCAUCAAACAAAUCUACAAUCUAUAUCCGAGAGUAUUAAUCUCCCGAGUCGUUCUCCCUUGGAAUUGCCAAAGUAUGCAUCUUAUUGAUUUAGUAAGCUUUGUUUGAAUUCUUUGAAGGUCUUAGCAAGUAAUA